rnacentral:rRNA from 1 species
GACGAACGCUGGCGGCGUGCUUAACACAUGCAAGUCGAGCGGUAAGGCCCUUUCGGUGGUACACGAGCGGCGAACGGGUGAGUAACACGUGGGUGACCUGCCCUCAGCUCUGGGAUAAGCCUGGGAAACCGGGUCUAAUACUGGAUAUGACUCCAUGACGCAUGUUGUGGGGUGGAAAGCCUUGUGCGGCUGAGGAUGGGCCCGCGGCCUAUCAGCUUGUUGGUGGGGUGAUGGCCUACCAAGGCGACGACGGUAGCCGGCCUGAGAGGGCGACCGGCCACACUGGGACUGAGACACGGCCCAGACUCCUACGGGAGGCAGCAGUGGGGAAUCUUGCGCAAUGGGCGAAAGCCUGACGCAGCGACGCCGCGUGAGGGAUGACGGCC